UUGUAUUUUUACUUAAACUGCAAUAAGGUAAACAUUUACGAACAAAAUAAUUACUAAAAUGUCACGCAAACUCUCAAGAUUUGUACCCGAAGGUAACUUGCUUUAUUUUUUGAUUUCUUUUGGAGUAAUUAUCGUGAAGCAAAAAUCACGUGCUCACACUCAUUUAUGUUUCUUCGUGUAUUAUGUGCAGAUAUCUGAUCAAGCAUCUUAAACCAAACUUUUUAAAGUUCUUAAGUGCAACAUUUAUCAUCAAAAACUAAACUAUAAACUGAGAAACCUGUUAUUGUUGCACUCAUGGUCUCUUGAUAAAUCUUUCAAUGCUUAUUUGAAUGUGAACUAGGACUUGAAGGCUAAUAUAUUCAACUCUAUUUGUCAAGAACAAUAGUGUAAUGUGAUUGUUGUAAUUUUGCUGCUUGGACACAAUUAACAUUUGAAUCCCUCUAAAACUCCUUUCAAGUCAAUUUAGUAUUUGGCUUUGUUAAUUAUUAACUACUUAUUAUUUUUCUUACAUUUUUAGAUUAUACAGCUCAGAUUUGAUCUUUAAAUAACUUGGCGUCAUUUUAUAUGAUUUUUUAGUAAUUAUAGCAGCUAACCUGCAUUUAAUUUCUUUAUGAUGAAAGAUUAUACUAUGGAAGUCAUUUGAUAUGUAUCGAGAUAAUGCCAGCCUAUUCUCUUCUACAAUAGUUUUAAAGCCACCGGCAGAUUGCCACAACUUAGCUUAAUGUCUUAGUUGUGAAUCAGAUAUCAGACAUACUUUUUGUUAAUGAUAGCGAGGAUGUAUAUGAAACGACAUAUGAUUUUGGAGACAAUAUGGAGGAUUACCGUGUUACCAGUAACUUAUUAGGUGGUUGGAACAUUGUCCUUAUUGCUUGCUCAAUCUCCCAAGCUACACAAAUACUGGUCUUACACUUGCUCACCGUAUUUAUUAUAGUUGGAUGGUGGACAGCGGGAUCGAUCUCUCAUUCGUGAUACUUAUCCGUUCAAAGUGUGAGGAAGAUCGAUGGAGUUGAAUGCGACAACUCUAAGAAAGGAUUUAGUACUUUAAUUUGUCUGUGAUUGUUUUGAGUAUUAUUUAGCUUAUGCAAACUCCUUUCGCUCUCUAUUGUAUCUUUGUUGAUUCGCGACUUUUGCCUUUGCAUUAUUCUUCUUAUAAUAUAGCUAAUGACCUGAAGAUUUAGAAA